ACUCCAUCCUGUCAUGAGAAGUGUGCGGAUUUCAAUAAUUAUCUAUCGCAACGUACGUCGUCUCAACCUGCUGGAUCUGUGCAAACAGCGACAUUGUGCAACCGGCAGUAUUUCGUUUCAUCUUCUUCUGUGAUAAGAAACGAGGCGGCAUUGGGGUGUAAGGCUCUUAGCAUGACGCUCUUGACCACCACUUCUCUCGAGGAAAUAAACUGUCUGGCUAACAGCUUUAAAGG